AGAGUUUGAUCAUGGCUCAGGAUGAACGCUAGCUACAGGCUUAACACAUGCAAGUCGCGGGGCAUCGCGAAGGGUAGCAAUACUCUUUGGCGGCGACCGGCGGAUGGGUGAGUAACGCGUAUCCAACCUGGCCCUAUCUCGGGCACAGCCCCUCGAAAGAGGGAUUAAUUCCCGAUGUUCCCGUUAGUUCGCAUGUUCUUUCGGGCAAAGGUAUUUAUCGGAUAGGGAUGGGGAUGCGUUCCAUUAGGCAGUCGGCGGGGUAACGGCCACCGAGCCUUCGAUGGAUAGGGGUUCUGAGAGGAAGGCCCCCCACACUGGGACUGAGACACGGCCCAGACUCCUACGGGAGGCAGCAGUGAGGAAUAUUGGUCAAUGGCGGUAACGCUGAACCAGCCAAGUAGCCGUGAGGGAUUACGGCCCUACGGGUCUUAAACCUCUUUUGUUGGGGAGCAACCUGUGCCACUUGUGGCACACUGCGAGUACCCUUCGAAUAAGCAUCGGCUAACUCCGUGCCAGCCGCGGC
rnacentral:rRNA from 1 species